CCUCACUGCUCCACACACUUUAAGACCCCCAGUACUGAUCAGUGACUGUCCAGUCCUUUCACAGACACUGACACAGGCAGCAUUAUGAUGAUGUCAAACUUUUUACUGCUGGUGAUGCUGGGACUCCUUGUACAAGAAUCAAUGGCAGAUAUAGUCCUGACUCAGGCUCCAACAGCUCGGUCUGUUCAGCUGGGAGACGCUGUCUCUAUUAGCUGUACGGUCAGUCAGAGUGUUCUCGGUGGCAGCUACCUCAGCUGGUACCAGCAGAAACCUGCUCAGGCUCCUAAACUUCUGAUCUAUAGUGCCACUACUCGCCAGUCUGGGAUUCCUGAUCGUUUCAGUGGGAGUGGAUCUGGGACUCAGUUUACACUGAAAAUCACUGGAGUCCAGGCUGAAGAUGCAGGAGAUUAUUACUGUCAGAGUUACCACAGUGGUGAUGUGUACACUUUCGGUGGCGGCACGAAACUGUCAGUUGGACGUGACACAGUCCCCACCCUCACAGUCCUGCCCCCCUCCAGUGUGGAGGUGAAGCAGGGGAAGGCCACACUGGUGUGUCUGGCCAACAAGGGCUUCCCGUCAGACUGGACUCUGCGCUGGAAAGUGGACGGUACCAGUAGGAGCUCGGGCGUGGCCGGGAGCACCGGGGUCCUGGGGAAGGACGGCCUGUACAGCUGGAGCAGCUCCCUGACUCUCAGUGCGGACGACUGGAUGAAGGCGGGGUCACUGACCUGUGAGGCCACAAAGGGCUCCCAGUCUGCCCCCCCUCAGACACUGAGGAGAGCUGACUGUGCUGAGUAGGGCGGGUGCAGGCCCAGCUCACACACUCUGAUCACACUGUGUUUACCCUGCUCUGCUCUCAGCCUCUCUGCUCCUUACUGCUGCACACUGAGCUGGGCCUGUGUGUGAAUCCUUCCUCCAGCCUGAGCUGUCACUGCUAAUGUCUCACAUGUGCUCUGCUUGUGUCCUCAACAAAUAUGCAUACCUGCCUUCUUAUUUGUGUUUGUGUGAUUUUGGCAAUAGCUGUUAGAUAAAAGUCAUUGAAAUAAUAAAGAUUCUUUGAAAAGUUA